AACAAGCAGGUGUGCAAGGAAUAUUGGUUUAUCAGCCAAGGGCCUCUCCGAAUCUGAACAAAUGUUUGAAACCCUCUUCCAGGAAGCUUCGGAUGGAAACAAAGUGCAGAACAAAAGUAUUGGGCUGCUUUUGGCCACGCCAUUGCCGUGUUCUAUUCAUCAGGAAUCAGCCGACCAAUAACAGCAUUUCAUGACUAUACUAAAGAUUUCAGCUGGUUAAUGCUCAAGACAGCAUAAUCUCAUCUUUAUUGAUGUGAAAGGUCUACGCUUUAUUAAGUGGUUUUGCACUUUGCAGCUUGUUUCAGAACUUUCUUUUCCGUUCAUCACAAUAUAUUCUCCUUAAUCAUCCCUUCAACCGUGCUAUUCUCUUAUUUUUGACAUCUUUAAAAUGCAAAAGCCUGCCUGCCUGCCUUAAUCCCCAACCCACAAAUUCUUAUACUCCAUUCCAAUUUCUCUUGUGUUCUACCAAUAUGACUGACUACAAGUACGGCUAUCCCUAUCCUCCUCCCGGUGCUUAUCAAGGGCCACCUCCAGUAAUGGCACCUCCUCAAUAUUAUGCAGCCCCACCACCACCCAGGAGAGAACCUGGUUUUCUUGAGGGAAUCCUUGCAGCUUUAUGUUGUUGCUGUCUCUUGGAUGAAUGCUGCUGCUGCGACCCCUAUGUUUCAAGUAUGGACUAGGAUCCUACAUCAGCUAGAAAUUUUUCCAGUUUUCAUUACAGUUUGAUAAUAUACUAGUUUGCUGAUGGACAUUAACAAAUCUAUAUGUACUUUGUAUAUUUAUGCUGUAAAAGAUUAAAGCUUUUAACAGGAAUUUUUAGCGGGAAUCCAUAGAUUUUGUCAUAGAAAAAUGUUCACUUUGAUUUGUAGAUCUGGAAGAAAAUUGAUACUUGUUCUUACCCGUACUUUUACGGUUCUGAGCGUAUGAUUUUGCAUGUAUUUUUUGUGGAGAUGGAGCCUGUAGAUCAUGUAGAUUUGUUCUAUCAACAAAGCUGUAUCCUGUAGAUCAUGUGGAUUGACCCACUGAUCAUGAUAAAAGACAACUAUCAUUAAAAAAAAAAGUAAAUGAAAACAAACAUUUGAUGACAUCUUCAUCCCCUAACUCUAGAUCCACAAACACAUACACACACACACACACCAUUCAAUCAUUAAGCUGUAGAAAUGGAACAAAAUGGCUUGAUUGCA